AACCCAAUAGAUGCCGAUGAUAGUCAUAUCAAAACAAAUGGACCCUUGAAGUUCUACAACUCCGAGAUCCACUCUGCAGCUUUCUGCUUACCCUCAUUUGCAAGAAAGGUAAUUGAUUCAAUUGCUAAAUGAAGUAGUUUAACAGAGCAAUUAAGGGAGUAAAUUCGUGCUUUUGUGUGGCUCCUUGCCUGAAUAGUCAUUUAAAUGCGUCAUGUGGCCUUUGCAAGGGAAGUGGUCGCGGUUUAAACUGGUUCUUGAAGUAGUUAAUUCGUUAAAUGAGAGUCUCUAUUGAUGGACCUUGAGUCUAGAGGUUCUUAUUCUUCGCAUGAUAACGUUUCUUAAUGUUUGGACAAAAUAUUUCUCGCUUUACUUGAAUAUCAAAUAUUUUUACACUCCCGUAA